AGCCUUAAGUUUUAUUUAAGGUGACGCCUGCCCAGUGCUAUUAACAGUAAACGGCCGCAGUACCCUGACUGUGCUAAGGUAGCAUAAUCAGUUGGCUUUUAAAUGGAGUCGGGAAUGAAUGGAUUAAUAGGGUGUGACUGUCUCUUCUACACUAAAUUGAAUUUGCUUAUUAGGUGAAAAUGCCUAAGCCUAGAAAAAAGACGAGAAGACCCUAGGAGUUUUUACUAGAGGUUAACAAAAUUUAACUGUUGUUUUUGUUGGGGCGACAAAGGAGCAAUUAAACCCUCCUUUUAUUAUCUGCCGACAGUGUAUGAGAGAUUAAACUACCCUAGGGAUAACAGCGUAAUUCUUAAGAGCUUGCGACCUCGAUGUUGGACUAGGAAUUUGGUAGGCUAGCCGCCUAUUUAUAUUGUUCUGUUCGAACUGUUUUUCCUACAU
rnacentral:rRNA from 1 species